rnacentral:rRNA from 1 species
GAUCAUGGCUCAGGAUGAACGCUGGCGGCGUGCUUAACACAUGCAAGUCGAACGGGAAACCUUUUAUUGAAGCUUCGGCAGAUUUAGCUGGUUUCUAGUGGCGGACGGGUGAGUAACGCGUGGGGUAACCUGCCUUAUACAGGGGGAUAACAACCAGAAAUGGUUGCUAAUACCGCAUAAGCGCACAGGACCGCAUGGUCCGGUGUGAAAAACUCCGGUGGUAUAAGAUGGACCCGCGUUGGAUUAGCUAGUUGG